GUUGGCUUGAGGUGGAGUUUGAGGACAGCAGGGUGAUGCAGCUGGUACUGCGGAGGACCCACGAGUUCGCCGCGGUGUCCAAACUGGACCCCACUCCUGUAUUCCCCAUCGAGCGCUAUCUAGCGAACAUGGAGAUAACCUUGUCCGGCGCACCCAAGGUCACCGGCGCCGCAGCGCAUACGCAUAAGCAGUUGGGAAAAAAGUCCAUUGGUGUGAGCCAUCUUGCGCGGAACAGCAAACCAAGGCUGUCCAUGGUAACGUCCAAUCUUGACACCGUGCGAUCUGCCUGGCGGCAUGCUGUUCGGUAGACGCGGAUCAUGCGUCGGCCUUCGGAAGGGACUGGGCGGACGCAUGUCUGACUGUGUCGUGCAAACGGACACAGCUGCACACGCCUUUUGGGCCAGUUUGAACAGCAAGUGCUGGAUGAACAAUCGACGGUGCACACGGCGGCUGCAAACAAUGAUGGAGUGGGAAUGACAGUAAUCCUGUGAUUUGCUCUCCUUCUGUGGCGCAGUUGUAUAGGAAGCGUACUGCAACCACUUCAACGCUUCCAUGACAAUAAUGGGCCGCGCGCUCUGAUGAGCACGUGACUUCCUGCUAUCGUGACAAGUAUUGUCCAUGGCCGCACAUGUAUACCGAAGGCUGACUCACUUUACCGGUGUAAAUCGACUUCGAAUUAUUAUUAAGCGUUGCGUCCGGAAUAGGCGCGAAGAUGAAUAAUGAAAGAAAGCAAUGAUGAUGACAAGGACACAAGAAAAAAACUGAGCUUUGAGUCUGUCGGACACGGCAUCAGAGUGCACGCGGUCCAGUGGUUUGUACUGAGACAUGCAAUUUUUCCAAUAUUUUCACGUGUAGCUCUUCAGCAUGAU